GGGCGCACUAACCUGGUCAACAACUACUUCCUCUAAGCUCACCUGCGUGGUUCACGUGACUCAGAGUGGAAAUGCUAGUUUAACCCUGAGAAGGACCAGGAGUGUUUCCACCGGGUUAAAUGUAUUUGAAAGCUCAGAAGAGGAAGGCGCCUCGUGGUUCUGCUGUGUUUGCUAAUGGUUUAUGCUUUAUCAGUUUCUCCAUUGAAACUGGAAGAUCCUGUGAUGAGUAGCCGAGCCCACCAUUGGACACUACAUGAGGUGCAGAGUUUUGGAUUUGGCGUGCAAGGACGGGGCGAGACGCAAACCCUGCAUGACGUCGCAACCACUUCCACACACGCACAACCUUGCAUCAUCCAAAAGCAGAAACUAAGACACCUUGGGCGCCUGAUCCGGACAACGGCG